rnacentral:misc_RNA from 1 species
GUUUUAGCAGUAGUUUAUUGAAGGCAAAUUGCAUGAUAUGUGAACAAAUGCCUUCAUUCAAUUAAUGGCAGGGAAAUAGGAAUGUUGGAUAGAAACAUUCCUUGUAAUACGUUGUUUAACGCAUGUUGCUCUUAUUUCAUAUAAGCAUCCAAUAUUUCACAUGUUUAAGAAUGCAGUAUUUUAAAUAAUAUAAUAGUAAAUCCUUAGAAAUUAACACAUAUAGAUAAAAC